GUCAUUGUUCUUCAUCUGAAUUUUUUCGCAAUUUUAAGGAGUUUUCGGUGAAACAAUUUUUCAGAGAUUUUUCUAGAAUGGUGGUGGAUGGUUCAACAGAAAUUGAACCAAGGGCGGCGGUCAGAGCGAGAUUUUUCUAGAAUGGUGGUGGAUGGUUCAACAGAGAUUUUUCAGAGAUUUUUCUAGAAUGUAGGGGGCAUCUGUACUCGGUGUGGAGGACAAUACAGGUGCUGGAAGUUCGGGUGUAGCCACGGGUGAUACGCAUGCUCAGGGGAUAACUGCCUCAAAAAGUGUAGAUGGUGGUGGCCCAUCCAAUGUUCAGAUUGGGUGCGUCAACGAUGUGAACAUGGCUGAAGAAGUAUAUACGAGGACUGGUGUGAAGACAAACAUAAAAAAUUUUGGGAAAGAGAAUCCGAUAUUUGAAAAUAUCAAUAACGUGGUAAAACAACUCCGUCGUGGUAGAAUUUGAGAUUAUUCGAUAUGGUUGUAAUACAUGAUAUCUUAAUCAGGACUUGGGUGUGUGCAUUGGGGCAAAAACAGGAAGGCGUACAAUAUUGAAGCCCCUGGUAGAAAAUGUAUGCAUGGCUAUUCAAAAUAUUUUGUGUGGUACUGUUGAUGGAAUGUUUAAGAUAAUAUUUUGUUUCUAUAAUUACAUGUGAAUUUUGAAUGAUAAACUAAGAAUUGUUGGGUAUAUUGAUGCACAUUUAGGUGGUUUCAUUCGAAACGCCUAUAUUGGCAAAUAGAUGCAGGGGGAAGGAUGUGCUUAAGAAAACUAAUUUCAAUUUAUCGCCGUACAUUGAAAGGAGUGUCAAUGCAAGCAAGAGACUGACUAUGAAAGAAAAAAUGCUGGGAAUGUUUGCCAUAUAAC